AAACUACUCCCUCCGUUCGGAAUUACUUGUCUCGGAAAUGGAUGUAUCUAGAACUAAAAUACAUCUAGAUACAUCCAUUUCUGCGACAAGUAAUUCCGAACGGAGGGAAUACAUA
rfam:Triticum urartu cultivar G1812 contig343807, whole genome shotgun sequence.